rnacentral:rRNA from 1 species
GACGAACGCUGGCGGCGUGCUUAACACAUGCAAGUCGAACGGUAAGGCUCCAGCUUGCUGGGGUACACGAGUGGCGAACGGGUGAGUAACACGUGGGUGACCUGCCCUGCACUUCGGGAUAAGCCUGGGAAACUGGGUCUAAUACCGGAUAGGACCGCACCGUGAGGGUGUGGUGGAAAGUUUUUUCGGUGUGGGAUGGGCCCGCGGCCUAUCAGCUUGUUGGUGGGGUAAUGGCCUACCAAGGCGGCGACGGGUAGCCGGCCUGAGAGGGUGGACGGCCACAUUGGGACUGAGACACGGCCCAGACUCCUACGGGAGGCAGCAGUGGGGAAUAUUGCACAAUGGGCGGAAGCCUGAUGCAGCGACGCCGCGUGGGGGAUGACGGCCUUCGGGUUGUAAACUCCUUUCACCAUCGACGAAGGGUUUCUGACGGUAGAUGGAGAAGAAGCACCGGCUAACUACGUGCCAGCAGCCGCGGUAAUACGUAGGGUGCGAGCGUUGUCCGGAAUUACUGGGCGUAAAGAGCUCGUAGGUGGUUUGUCGCGUCGUCUGUGAAAUUCCGGGGCUUAACUCCGGGCGUGCAGGCGAUACGGGCAUAACUUGAGUACUGUAGGGGAGACUGGAAUUCCUGGUGUAGCGGUGAAAUGCGCAGAUAUCAGGAGGAACACCGGUGGCGAAGGCGGGUCUCUGGGCAGUAACUGACGCUGAGGAGCGAAAGCAUGGGGAGCGAACAGGAUUAGAUACCCUGGUAGUCCAUGCCGUAAACGGUGGGCGCUAGGUGUGGGUUUCCUUCCACGGGAUCCGUGCCGUAGCUAACGCAUUAAGCGCCCCGCCUGGGGAGUACGGCCGCAAGGCUAAAACUCAAAGGAAUUGACGGGGGCCCGCACAAGCGGCGGAGCAUGUGGAUUAAUUCGAUGCAACGCGAAGAACCUUACCUGGGCUUGACAUAUACAGGAUCGCGCCAGAGAUGGUGUUUCCCUUGUGGCUUGUAUACAGGUGGUGCAUGGUUGUCGUCAGCUCGUGUCGUGAGAUGUUGGGUUAAGUCCCGCAACGAGCGCAACCCUUGUCUUAUGUUGCCAGCACGUUGUGGUGGGGACUCGUAAGAAACUGCCGGGGUUAACUCGGAGGAAGGUGGGGAUGACGUCAAAUCAUCAUGCCCCUUAUGUCCAGGGCUUCACACAUGCUACAAUGGUCGGUACAGUGGGUUGCCAGUCCGUGAGGGCGAGCUAAUCCCGCAAAGCCGGUCUCAGUUCGGAUCGGGGUCUGCAACUCGACCCCGUGAAGUCGGAGUCGCUAGUAAUCGCAGAUCAGCAACGCUGCGGUGAAUACGUUCCCGGGCC